CUGCUGUUAUUUUUUAUUUAUUUAUUUUUAUUUUCUUUUUCCCUUUUCCUUUCCUCUAUCAUAUUUCCUUCCCCUUUUGCUAUAGGUUCUGGAACAAAAAGUAACAGUACUUUCAAAACUAUGGGAGACUUCGUAACAUCAGAGAUGGGAAACUAAAAUUUGAGGCUUUGCUGAGGCUGCAGAAACACUGUACAACAUUACGGAAGACAGAGAAUAUAUUCCACGGCCUGAAGGCAGAACUGACACUGAACCUUCUCCACUUUUCUUUGACUAUUUGGCAACAAAAAUUGGCUACUCUUGCAGAAUGUCUGCUGCAUUGGUCAUGUCAGCCAGGAAACGCACAGUCUUCUAACUGGUCAUUUACAAGUGGGAACUUUUUCUUCUCGAUCAACGUGGUAGGAACUUGUCAGACUGUCAUGGAGAUCAAUGAAGUAACUGUGGAUUAGUAUGACUGGAAAUGAGAGUUUGACCCACUGUCUGUUGGAGAGGAAACUGGAAGUAAUGAGACCAGAGUCCAAGGAGAUCAACAGAACUGGAAGAUGGGCUGCUGCUUGAAAAUAGCAUGGUGGCUGUUUUGUGUCAUCUUGUCCCAAAGAAGAAACAUGCGUGAUAUAAGUGCAAUCCUCUUAUGUUUUUCUCCUUCAUCUAUGAACUUGGGUGAAAAACUAAAUUGGAUGGAAAACUGGCUGGACCAUCAAGAUCCACAGGAAAUGGUCAAUGGUUCAAAGUCUGACUGGUGACUAGUUAUAAGACGUGCUCCUAAGCUGCUGAAACUAGGCUGAUUCUGUCAAACUUUUCCAUCAGUGACCUGGACAGUGGGAUGGAUACACCCUCAGCAACUUCAUGGAUAACCCCAAAUUGGAAGGGAAGGUCAACAGUCUAGAGGAUUGGGCUGCCACUCAGAAGGGCCUAGGCAAGCUAGAGGGAUGGACCAGCAGGUACCUCGUGAAGUUCAAGAAAGACAAACGCAAAACCUUGCACCUUGGAUGGUAAGAACACAUGCAGCAGCGCAGGCUGGGAAGCACUUCUGCUGAGAGGGACCAAG
rnacentral:lncRNA from 1 species